UACGGGGGGGGCAAGCGUUGUUCGGAUUUACUGGGCGUAAAGGGCUCGUAGGUGGCCAAUUAAGUCAGGCGUGAAAUCCCCAGGCUCAACUUGGGAACUGCGUCUGAUACUGGUUGGCUUGAAUUCGGGAGAGGGAUGCAGAAUUCCAGGUGUAGCGGUGAAAUGCGUAGAUAUCUGGAGGAAUACCGGUGGCGAAGGCGGCAUCCUGGACCGAGAUUGACACUGAUGAGCGAAAGCCAGGGGAGCAAACGGG
rnacentral:rRNA from 1 species